GGGCCCGCACAAGCGGUGGAGUAUGUGGUUUAAUUCGAUGCAACGCGAAGAACCUUACCUGGUCUUGACAUCCUGCGAACUUUCUAGAGAUAGAUUGGUGCCUUCGGGAACGCAGUGACAGGUGCUGCAUGGCUGUCGUCAGCUCGUGUCGUGAGAUGUUGGGUUAAGUCCCGUAACGAGCGCAACCCUUGUCCUUAUUUGCCAGCACAUCAUGGUGGGAACUAUAAGGAGACUGCCGGUGAUAAACCGGAGGAAGGCGGGGACGACGUCAAGUCAUCAUGGCCCUUACGACCAGGGCUACACACGUGCUACAAUGGGAAGGACAAAGAGCCGCGAAGCCGCGAGGUGUAGCUAAUCUCAAAAAGCCUGUCCCAGUUCGGAUUGGAGUCUGCAACUCGACUCCAUG
rnacentral:rRNA from 1 species